CACACUUCCCUUUUCCCUGCUGCUGACACAUGGCUAUUUUUACCCAGAAGAGAAGAUACGUUAAACAUAGACUAUGUGGCAUUCGGCAUAUUUCAGUCUUUGCAUAAAAUUGCCAGAAAAUUUCUUGAGAUUAGGGAUGAAGUCUACAUGAAAACUCUGGGUUGUCAGUACUCAUUGAACCCCUGCUUUGAAUUCUAGGGUAGUAAAAGUUCAGAAGUAGUUAUUAGUGAACCAAUACCAACAGCUGUGGUCAGUUAAUGGGAUUGAUUGAAAAAAGUUGUCCUAGCAAAAGAUAUCAUUUGAUAUAACUCCUGGAAAUCUGUUAUACAAAUAAAUUAAAAUAUAGUCACUGCAGAUUAUAGUUUGAGAAGACAUCAAAUCAGACGCAAUCAUGAAUCAAAGAUGGUAUUGAGCUAUCAGGUUAUUGUCAACAUGGCUUCUCAACAUUUGGAGCAGAGGGAUGAAGUGAAGCAGAGGUGUUAGGAAAGAUUUUUAAAGGGAUUUUCAACCAGUUACCCUUUACAAGAAAUAUGCUAGUCUUUAGAUUCAAUAAAACUUCACAUUUCAAAUAAAUCUGCCCAACAAAAUAGCAAACAUACCCUUGUCUCAGCUAAUUAAAAUAAAAACCUUUUGCCUUUUCUACUUCGGGGAGCUGGGUUGCUAUCAGAAGACUGUGAUCCAAGUUGUGGAUUAAGGGAGAUUAUUGCACCACCAAUAUUCUGGAGUCUUUUAAGAAAGUGAAUUCAGGUAUAAAUUAAUAGCUGAAAUAUAAGUUAGAAAGAGAAGUUUUAUAGUUUUUAUUUUUACAUUUAGGCAACUUCAAGUAAGUUUUGUGUAUGGUGUGAAGGAGGCUCCAAGGUUUAAUUUUUUCUAUGUAUUUAUCUGGGUCUUCCAGUAUCUUUUAUUAAAAAACCUUUCCUCCCCAGUGAAUAAUCUUAACAUUUUUGUCAAAAAUCUAUUGACUAUAUAUGUUUGAAUCUGUUUCUGGGUUGUGUUCUAUUUUAUUGAUCUAUUUGCUUAUAUUUAUGAUCCUAAUUCACCGUGUUGAUUACUAUAGCUGAAAAGUAACUCUAAAAAUCAAAGUUGAAUCAACUUUGUUAUUCUUUUUCAUGAUUGUUUUGACAUACAAGCUCUUCUGUGUUUAAAUAUAAUUCUCAUUGUCAGUUUAUAUUUGAAAACCUCUUUAGAUUUUGAUAGGAGUUACAUUGAAUUUAUAGAUCAAUUUGGGAAGAACUAUCUUAACAAUACUGACUCUUCAAAUUCAUGAACAUGGUAUAUAUCUUCAUUUAUUUAGGUCUUAGAUUUUUCUAAACAGUGUUUUGUAGUUUUUAGUUCAGAGAAUUUGCAUAUCUUUGUUAAAUUUAUUCCCAAGUAUUUUAUGUUUUUUAUGUUAUUAAAUUUUGUUAUAAAUGUAAUUGCUCACAAAUUUUAUUUUUCAAUAUGGCACAGUAUUGGUAAGUGUAUCCUGCAACUUUACUAAGCUCAUAUAUUAAUUAUAGUCACUGUUUUUGUAUUUUUAUGUGCAGAAUCAUGUCAUCUGUGAAUAAGGGCAGUUUUUGGCCUAUUUUAAUUAGUUUGACUUUUUUUGUUUUCUUUCCUUAUUGCUUUGUUAAAAUUUCAAGUAGAAUGUUGUAAAAUUUCUUUAAGUUUCUGGUUUGCCAAGAGUUUAAUUUUAAAUAAUAAAUGAGUGUUAAAUGGUUUUGUCUGCAUCUUUUAGGUGAUCAUAUGGUUUUCUGCUUUAUUCUGUGAGUAAAUGAAUGAAAACAAUUUUAGAAAUUUCUACUUUUCAGAUGUAGAAAUAAAAAAUGAUACAUUCCCAUUAAAAUACUACUUUAGCUGGAUCCAGAAAAUGGAUAUGUUGUGUUUUAUCAUUAUUCAGUUUGAAAUAUUUCCUUUGGUUUUUUUUUCAUGGUUUAUUUAUAUGUGUCUUGUUCAAUUUCCACAUAUUCGGUUUAAAUAUAUAUUUUAUUAUUGACUUCCCAUUUAAUUCCACUGUUGUUAGAUAACGUGUUCUGUAAGAUUUUAAUCUUUGGGCAUUUAUUAAGAUGUAUUACAUUUAUUACCUAAGAUAUAGUCCAUCUUUGUGAGCAUCUGAUAAGCACUCAAAAAUAAUGUGUAUAUUUUGGAGAUGUAGUUUUAAUGUUCUAUAAAUGUUAGAUAAAGAUCAUUUAUAGUAUUGUUGAAGUGGUUUAUAUAUCUACUGAUUUUUUUUCUAGGUGAUCUAUCAAUUACUGAAGGAGAUGUAUUAAAAUAUUCAAUUCUGAAUGU
rnacentral:lncRNA from 1 species